AUGCAAGUCGAGCGGACCGACGGGAGCUUGCUCCCUUAGGUCAGCGGCGGACGGGUGAGUAACACGUGGGUAACCUGCCUGUAAGACUGGGAUAACUCCGGGAAACCGGGGCUAAUACCGGAUGCUUGAUUGAACCGCAUGGUUCAAUCAUAAAAGGUGGCUUUUAGCUACCACUUGCAGAUGGACCCGCGGCGCAUUAGCUAGUUGGUGAGGUAACGGCUCACCAAGGCGACGAUGCGUAGCCGACCUGAGAGGGUGAUCGGCCACACUGGGACUGAGACACGGCCCAGACUCCUACGGGAGGCAGCAGUAGGGAAUCUUCCGCAAUGGACGAAAGUCUGACGGAGCAACGCCGCGUGAGUGAUGAAGGUUUUCGGAUCGUAAAACUCUGUUGUUAGGGAAGAACAAGUGCCGUUCGAAUAGGGCGGUACCUUGACGGUACCUAACCAGAAAGCCACGGCUAACUACGUGCCAGCAGCCGCGGUAAUACGUAGGUGGCAAGCGUUGUCCGGAAUUAUUGGGCGUAAAGCGCGCGCAGGCGUUUCUUAAGUCUGAUGUGAAAGCCCCCGGCUCAACCGGGGAGGGUCAUUGGAAACUGGGGAACUUGAGUGCAGAAGAGGAGAGUGGAAUUCCACGUGUAGCGGUGAAAUGCGUAGAGAUGUGGAGGAACACCAGUGGCGAAGGCGACUCUCUGGUCUGUAACUGACGCUGAGGCGCGAAAGCGUGGGGAGCGAACAGGAUUAGAUACCCUGGUAGUCCACGCCGUAAACGAUGAGUGCUAAGUGUUAGAGGGUUUCCGCCCUUUAGUGCUGCAGCAAACGCAUUAAGCACUCCGCCUGGGGAGUACGGUCGCAAGACUGAAACUCAAAGGAAUUGACGGGGGCCCGCACAAGCGGUGGAGC
rnacentral:rRNA from 1 species